rnacentral:rRNA from 1 species
UACGAAGGGGGCUAGCGUUGCUCGGAAUCACUGGGCGUAAAGGGUGCGUAGGCGGGUCUUUAAGUCAGGGGUGAAAUCCUGGAGCUCAACUCCAGAACUGCCUUUGAUACUGAAGAUCUUGAGUUCGGGAGAGGUGAGUGGAACUGCGAGUGUAGAGGUGAAAUUCGUAGAUAUUCGCAAGAACACCAGUGGCGAAGGCGGCCAACUGGUCCGGUACUGACGCUGAGGUGCGAAAGCGUGGGGAGCAAACAGGG